AGCUUUGGGAACACUAGCUCAGUCGGUUAGAGCCUGGUGCUGAUAAUGCCAAGGUUGCAGGUUCGAUCCCCAUAAGGGAAAGCUG